rnacentral:rRNA from 1 species
GACGAACGCUGGCGGCACGCUUAACACAUGCAAGUCGAACGAGGUCCAUCCGCUCGCAAGAGCGGUGAAGACCUAGUGGCGAACGGGUGAGUAACACGUGAGAAACCUGCCCCGAAGACCGGGAUAACUCACCGAAAGGUGAGCUAAUACCGGAUACCCUCACGACGCUUCAUGGCGAUGUGAGGAAAUGGAUUCCGCUUCGGGAGGGUCUCGCGGCCUAUCAGCUUGUUGGUGAGGUAACGGCUCACCAAGGCGACGACGGGUAGCUGUUCUGAGAGGAAGAUCAGCCACACUGGGACUGAGACACGGCCCAGACUCCUACGGGAGGCAGCAGUGGGGAAUCUUGCGCAAUGGGCGAAAGCCUGACGCAGCGAUGCCGCGUGCGGGAAGACGGCCUUCGGGUUGUAAACCGCUUUCAGCAGGGACGAAAUUGACGGUACCUGCAGAAGAAGCUCCGGCCAACUACGUGCCAGCAGCCGCGGUAAGACGUAGGGGGCGAGCGUUGUCCGGAAUUAUUGGGCGUAAAGGGCUCCUAGGCGGUUCAGUAAGUCGACUGUGAAAAUCCAAGGCUCAACCUUGGGACGCCAGUCGAUACUGCUGUGACUCGAGUUCGGUAGAGGAGUGUGGAAUUCCUGGUGUAGCGGUGAAAUGCGCAGAUAUCAGGAGGAACACCAACGGCGAAGGCAGCACUCUGGGCCGAUA